ACGAGGUCCCACAUGGUUCAGAAGGUUAAGGUGCAAGUGAUCCAAGAAAAGGACCACUCCAUCUGCUGAGGAGCUGCAGAAGACUGCUAGACUUGUAAUUGUGCGAAAGUUGAUGAAAGAAAUUUGGCAAGGUCAACAGUCUUGGAGGAAGUUUGAAGCUGGCUGGACAUGGGCUGUAAGUGGCUAACCACGUACAACAAGUUAACAUAUGGAGACCACAUAAAAGAUGGGCCAAGAGAAUAAGAAUAUAAAAUGAUUGAAGCAGGAAAGGCCAUGUGACAAUGUGUACCUAUUUUCCAUUCAAUAAACGAAU